rnacentral:rRNA from 1 species
UACGUAGGGUGCAAGCGUUGUCCGGAAUCAUUGGGCGUAAAGAGCGUGUAGGCGGCCCGGUAAGUCCGCUGUGAAAGUCGGGGGCUCAACCCUCGAAUGCCGGUGGAUACUGUCGGGCUAGAGUGCGGAAGAGGCGAGUGGAAUUCCUGGUGUAGCGGUGAAAUGCGCAGAUAUCAGGAGGAACACCGAUUGCGAAGGCAGCUCGCUGGGACGUAACUGACGCUGAGACGCGAAAGCGUGGGGAGCAAACAGG